rnacentral:rRNA from 1 species
CGGAGGGUGCAAGCGUUAUCCGGAUUCACUGGGUUUAAAGGGUGCGUAGGUGGGCUAGUAAGUCCGUGGUGAAAUCUCUGAGCUUAACUCGGAAACCGCCGUGGAUACUAUUAGUCUUGAAUCUCGUGGAGGUAAGCGGAAUAUGUCAUGUAGCGGUGAAAUGCUUAGAUAUGACAUAGAACACCGAUAGCGAAGGCAGCUUGCUACACGAGUAUUGACACUGAGGCACGAAAGCGUGGGGAUCAAACAGGAUUAGAUACCCUGGUAGUCCACGCCCUAAACGAUGGAUACUCGACAUACGCGAUACACAGUGUGUGUCUGAGCGAAAGCAUUAAGUAUCCCACCUGGGAAGUACGACCGCAAGGUUG